UAGUGGUAUUAAUGACCACUUAAUUGAGUGGCAGACUUGACAAAAUUAGAAAUCGAGCUUUGGGGCAAAAUCAAUCAUUGUAAGGCGAAGGUGAACUGGUGAAGUGGUUGCGAGAUUGAUCUUUUUCACCUUCUUGUAGAAACUUUAACCCGGGAAUGCACUUUAUUUUGUGUUGGCUUCCCUCCCGGACUUCCACUAUUAGAAAUUAGAACGACGGAAUCACAAACUUUCACCGAAAGCUUUUGCGUUCUUCAUAAUUAUGGUUGUCGUCUCCCUUCCUUCGAAGAUCGAAUCUUAAAUGGAAUGGCAGACUUCUCAAAACCCCUUCUUCAUCAACAAUCACAGGAAGGGAAGGGGAGAGACACAGCAGCCUCCCAAGGAGACCAGCAAAGCAACUUGUUUCAAAGGCAAAGCUCCGAAGUAAGGUGGUAGGACCUCAAAAACGAUAGCAAAGUAGAGGAAAAAGUACACAGCAAGUUGUACGGUUCGCAAGCAAGCUUCAUCAUCUAUCAAAAAUAGAAUAGAAAGGGGAGAAGUUUCAAGAACCUCUCUUUUUUUCUCCUGUUAAAUACUUCUCUCUUAAGUAUAAUAAGUGGUCUUGAUUUAAAUGGAUUAACAAGAUUUUUUUAAGCUCUAGUUCUCUGAUAAUUUUAUUUUAAAUUAUGUCUAUGGUGCAUGCCUCAAAACAUUGGGUGACUCAUGGCUGAGUCAGCUGAGUCAUGCACCUCAUGUGGCCGCAUACUUUAAAGCUUCUGGUUGAACAGAUCUGAUCCUGUAAAAUUUUGCUUUAAGGCAGAAGCCCUCAGCUAUCUUUUAGGGUAUGAAUCUUGUUUUAAUAGCCUGCCAAGUAUUAAUGAUUUUAUUUAUUUUCUUCCCUUGCUAAGCUUCAGUGGCAAGCGAGGUUCUUUCAGAUACUUUUAAAUCUCACCACCUUAUCUCUACAGCCAAUAGGUUAACCAGAACUGGAUCAGUUCUACUUGGUCCAAGUACCUAGUUCACACCUUGACUUGAAGAAGAUGAAAGUUAGAAGAAAGUGCUGAGUCAGUGUAUCAGUGCAUAAUAUUGUCCAUAGAAGUAGCAAGUAUUCUCCUUACGUCAGCCAAGUCAAAAUGGAAAACUGAAAAGUUGGAAUACCACUUCUAGUGGAGGUUAAGCUUUCUAAAAUAGUUAACUAUAUUUCUAGGGUUUUAUGUGGUUUGUUUCUCCUGUCCGACUCCUAGCCUGCAUUUAAGCUUCAUAACAUGGAGAUUUAUGAAUUGUUUGGCAAUUUUAUUAGAAAAGCAGACUAUCGCAUUCCUUAUCUUUUUCUCCUCCCUACUUUUAAGGGGUGGAAAUUGGAAAGAUGAUAGCAUGAUGAUUAGAAGAUUUGGUAUCUAAAACAACUUACACUUUCUGAGAAUUUGGGACUUGGGAUCUCUGCUGCCAAUGAUCGGAACAGUGGGGUUACUUGGGCAGGGGAACCGAACUCUGUGUUUGACAAUACGGGUAAGACUCCAUUUUCCUUCGAUCCUUCAGGAGAAAGGAAGAUUUCUGCUGCAAUGGGAAUAAAUUCUUAACUCUUCCAUAACAACAAACCAGGAAACCUCUUCUGAAAUCCAGUAGAGGUUCAGAAAAAUAAACAAAAUUUAUAGCGAACAAACUUCAGCUUGAUGUUGUUCUGUUUUAUCAUCUGCUGCAUGGGACUGGAGAGUUGAUCCUGUGCUGUACUCAGAGCUGCCAGGGGACUCCUCAUAUAAAUCAGUUUUUUCUGAAUGCUGAGGUUAUCCGAGGAUGCAAAGAGAUGUCUGAGAGCAAGUGAGCUGAGCAGUUCUGCUUGUUGCAUCAAAGCAGUGAUCUUUGGAUCAUCCCUUCUAAGGAAUGUUACUUGGCCCUUGUCAUCUGCAGCUACUUUUGAUCAGGGGGAAAUUGGUGUUAACUUCUCUUGAAA